GACACCAGACCAUGUAAGAGACAAUGAUGUUACGCACUGAAGGUAGAGAGGGAUAUAUGGUGAAGGUCCAUGGCCUGCCCUGGUCUUGCUCAGCCGAUUAAGUGCAGCAUUUUGGUUUUUUUUUUCUGACUGCAAAAUCCAAAAUGAGGCUCAAGGUAUUCAUUUCAUCUACACCAGAGAAGGCAGGCUGGGUGGCAAGGCUUUUGUUGAACUUGAAUCAGAAGAUGAAGUCAAAUUGGCCCUGAAAAAAAGACAGAGAAACUAUGGGACACAGUUUUGUUGAAGCAUUCAAGUCAAACAACAUUGAAAUGGAUUGGGUGUUGAAGCAUACUGGUCCAAAUAGUCCUGACAAGGCCAAUGAUGGCUUUGUACAGCUUAGAGGACUUUCCUUUGAAUGCAGCAAGGAAGAAAUUGCUCAGUUCUUCUCAAGGUUGGAAAUCGUGCCAAAUGGGUUAACAUCGCCGGUGGACUCCAGGGGAGGAGUACAGGGGAGGCCUUCGUGCAGUCUGCUUCACAGGAAAUAACUGAAAAGGCUCUCUAAAGAAACACAAGGAAAUAAUAGGGCACAAGUAUACUGAAAUCUUUAAGAGCAGCAGGGCUGAAGUUAGAACUCACUACAAUCCACCAUAAAAGCUUAUGGCCAUGCAGAGGCCAGGUCCCAUGAUAGACCUGGGUCUGGCAGAGGGUUUAACAGCAUUGGCAGAGGAGCUGGCUUUGAGAGGAUGAGGCAUGGUGCUUACUUAUAGUGAAGGAUAUAGAGCCAAUGAUAAUUAUAAUGGCUAUGGCUAUGGAUUUGGGUCAGAUAGAUUUGGAAGAGACCUCAAUUAUUGUUUUUCAGGAAUGUCUGCUCACAAAUAUGGGGAUGGUGGCUCUACUUUCCAGAGCACAACAGGACGCAGUGUACACGUGUGUGGAUUACCUUACAGAGCUACUGAGAAUGACAUUUGUAAUUUUUUUUCACUGUUCAAUCCUGUGAGGGUACACAUUGAAACUAGUCCUGAUGGCACAGUAACUGGUGAAGCAGAUGUUGAGUUUGCAACUCAUGAAGAUGCUGUGGCAGCUAUGUCAAAAGACAAAGCAAAUAUGCAACACAGCGAUGUAGAACCCUUCUUGAAUUCUACAGCAGGAGCCAGCAGUAGUGCUUACGGUAGCCAAAUGAUGGGGGGCAUGGGCUUGUCAAUCCAGUCCAGUUAUGGUGGCCCAGCCAGCCAGCAGCUGAGAGGUGGUUAUGGAGGUGGCUAUGGUGGCCACAGCAGCAUGAGUGGAUAUGACCAAGUUUUACAGGAAAACUUACGUGAUUUUCUCAGACAUUGCAUAAGCAGCCAAGGAGCAAUGAACAGCAGCUACUACAAUAAUGGAAGCUGUGCAUCUAUAGGCAUGAAUGGAAUGGGAGGGAUGUCUACCAUGUCCAUUAUGAGUGGUGGAUGGGGAAUAUAA